AUUGAACGCUGGCGGCAGGCCUAACACAUGCAAGUCGAGCGGAUGACGGGAGCUUGCUCCUUGAUUCAGCGGCGGACGGGUGAGUAAUGCCUAGGAAUCUGCCUGGUAGUGGGGGGCAACGUUUCGAAAGGAACGCUAAUACCGCAUACGUCCUACGGGAGAAAGCAGGGGACCUUCGGGCCUUGCGCUAUCAGAUGAGCCUAGGUCGGAUUAGCUAGUUGGUGGGGUAAUGGCUCACCAAGGCGACGAUCCGUAACUGGUCUGAGAGGAUGAUCAGUCACACUGGAACUGAGACACGGUCCAGACUCCUACGGGAGGCAGCAGUGGGGAAUAUUGGACAAUGGGCGAAAGCCUGAUCCAGCCAUGCCGCGUGUGUGAAGAAGGUCUUCGGAUUGUAAAGCACUCUAAGUUGGGAGGAAGGGCAGUAAGCUAAUACCUUGCUGUUUUGACGUUACCGACAGAAUAAGCACCGGCUAACUCUGUGCCAGCCGCCGCCGUAAGAC
rnacentral:rRNA from 1 species